UACGUAGGGUGCGAGCGUUGUCCGGAAUUAUUGGGCGUAAAGGGCUCGUAGGCGGUUUGUCACGUCAGGAGUGAAAACUCGGGGCUCAACCCCGAGCCUGCUUCUGAUACGGGCAGACUAGAGGUAUGCAGGGGAAAACGGAAUUCCUGGUGUAGCGGUGAAAUGCGCAGAUAUCAGGAGGAACACCGGUGGCGAAGGCGGUUCUCUGGGCAGUAACUGACGCUGAGGAGCGAAAGCGUGGGGAGCGAACAGG
rnacentral:rRNA from 1 species